AGGCAUGUGAUUAAAUGUCUUCUCAUCUUUUACUUCCAACCAGUUCAGGAGGGUAGGGUAGGAAAUUAUGUUGAGCCGUUCUCCAGCACUGACUCACAGCUGGUUCUGCUUACAGCUCAGAAGCAAAAGUGCUGUGCUCCAGGAAAACCCAGUGUUGCAGGAAUCGUGUGGAAAAUGAAGCAGUCCACCAGAAGGGACUCUUGAUUGUUGUUUCUCUUAAAAAUCCUCAGCGAAACACACAAAGUGUUUGAGCAGCCUUCUCGGAUUUGUUUUUCACUCCCUCUUCUGUCUUUGGCUGUGGAAGGAGAGUGUAGGGAGUCGGUAAAAGGACAGGCAUGUGUGUGUAAGGGACCUGCAGAGAGAGAGCCUGUAUGUCUUCAAAAAGGGUUAAAUAACGAGACAGCUUUCAUUCUCGAUUCUUUGUCUUGUUAAGAUUUUCCAAUGGAGGCAGUUGGAGAACCUGUACUUCAGGGAGAAGAAAUUUUCUGUGGAAGUGCAUGACCCGCGCAGGGCGUCUGUAACUAGGAGAACCUUUGGUCACAGUGGGAUUGCUGUACAUACAUGGUACGCCAGUGCUGCACUGAUUAAGUCCAUUUGGGCAAUGGCCAUAAGUCAGCAUCAGUUCUAUCUGGACAGAAAACAAAGUAAGUCGAAAAUUCAUGCAGCGAGGAGUCUGAGUGAAAUCGCCAUCGAUCUCACGGAAACUGGGACUCUGAAGAUGUCCAAGCUCGCCAACAUGGGAAGCAAAGGCAAAAUCAUCAGUGGGAGCAGUGGAAGUCUCC